UGCGCAGGCGGCUUUGCAAGUCGGGAGUGAAAUCCCAGGGCUUAACCCUGGAAUUGCUUUCGAAACUGCAAGGCUUGAGUCUCGGAGAGGUUGGCGGAAUUCCCAGUGUAGAGGUGAAAUUCGUAGAUAUUGGGAGGAACACCAGUGGCGUAAGCGGCCAACUAGACGAGUACUGACGCUCAAGCACGAAAGCGUGGGAUCAAACA
rnacentral:rRNA from 1 species